rnacentral:rRNA from 1 species
AGAGUUUGAUCAUGGCUCAGAGCGAACGCUGGCGGCAGGCCUAACACAUGCAAGUCGAACGCCCUUCGGGGGAGUGGCGGACGGGUGAGUAACGCGUGGGAAUGUGCCCUUUGGUACGGAACAACUGAGGGAAACUUCAGCUAAUACCGUAUGUCCCUUCGGGGGAAAGAUUUAUCGCCAUUGGAGCAGCCCGCGUUGGAUUAGGUAGUUGGUGGGGUAAAGGCCUACCAAGCCUACGAUCCAUAGCUGGUCUGAGAGGAUGAUCAGCCACACUGGGACUGAGACACGGCCCAGACUCCUACGGGAGGCAGCAGUGGGGAAUCUUGCGCAAUGGGCGAAAGCCUGACGCAGCCAUGCCGCGUGUAUGAUGAAGGUCUUAGGAUUGUAAAAUACUUUCACCGGGGAAGAUAAUGACGGUACCCGGAGAAGAAGCCCCGGCUAACUUCGUGCCAGCAGCCGCGGUAAUACGAAGGGGGCUAGCGUUGCUCGGAAUUACUGGGCGUAAAGGGCGCGUAGGCGGACAGUUUAGUCAGAGGUGAAAGCCCAGGGCUCAACCUUGGAAUUGCCUUUGAUACUGGCUGUCUUGAGUUCGGGAGAGGUGAGUGGAAUGCCGAGUGUAGAGGUGAAAUUCGUAGAUAUUCGGCGGAACACCAGUGGCGAAGGCGACUCACUGGCCCGAUACUGACGCUGAGGCGCGAAAGCGUGGGGAGCAAACAGGAUUAGAUACCCUAGUAGUCC